CAGUAGCCGCGGGAAUACCGAGGGUGCGAGCGUUAAUCGGAUUUACUGGGCGUAAAGCGUGCGUAGGCGGCUUCUUAAGUCGGAUGUUAAAUCCCUGAGCUUAACUUAGGAAUUGCAUUCGAUACUGGGAAGCUAGAGUAUGGGAGAGGAUGGUAGAAUUCCAGGUGUAGCGGUGAAAUGCGUAGAGAUCUGGAGGAAUACCGAUGGCGAAGGCAGCCAUCUGGCCUAAUACUGACGCUGAGGUACGAAAGCAUGGGGAGCAAACAGGAUUAGAUACCCCGGUAGUCCCUGUCUCUUAGAA
rnacentral:rRNA from 1 species